rnacentral:sRNA from 1 species
CCUUAGCCCCGAUAGCAGUGAAAAUCCUUUUUAUUCGCCUUUUUGGAGGAUAAAAAGAUUGCAAUGUAUAGCGGGAAUAGCU